rnacentral:rRNA from 1 species
CCUACGGGGGGCUGCAGUGAGGAAUAUUGGUCAAUGGGCGCGAGCCUGAACCAGCCACGUCGCGUGAAGGAUGACGGCCUUAUGGGUUGUAAACUUCUUUUACAGGGGAAUAAAGUGAGUCACGUGUGAUUUUUUGCAUGUACCCUGUGAAUAAGCAUCGGCUAACUCCGUGCCAGCAGCCGCGGUAAUACGGAGGAUGCGAGCGUUAUCCGGAUUUAUUGGGUUUAAAGGGUGCGUAGGCGGGAUAUUAAGUCAGCGGUGAAAGUUUUCGGCUCAACCUUAAAAUUGCCGUUGAAACUGUUAUUCUUGAGUGCAGUAGAGGUAGGCGGAAUUCGUUGUGUAGCGGUGAAAUGCGUAGAUAUAACGAGGAACUCCGAUUGCGUAGGCAGCUUACUAUAUUGCUACUGACGCUGAGGCACGAAAGUGUGGGUAUCAAACAGGAUUAGAUACCCCUGUAGUC